UCUGCAUCCCGAAUAUGACUCUAGAUAUAGAAUGAUGUCCAAUCUAAUAUCAUAUUCAUAUUUUUCUCAAUCUUAAAUGAUGAUUUGAUUAAUAAAAUAUUAAAAAAAAUUUCUAAUUUUUAUUCUAUUUUGAUCAAAGACUUUCUGAAUCAUCAAUUGAUUAGAGCAAGUAGGAUGCGAUCUCUUCUUACUAGGAGUGAUCGAUUCUAUGUUCACCUAC
rnacentral:lncRNA from 1 species